UACGUAGGGGGCAAGCGUUGUCCGGAAUCAUUGGGCGUAAAGAGCGCGUAGGCGGUCCGGUAAGUCCGCUCUGAAAGUCCCGGGCUCAACCCCGGGAGGCGGGCGGAUACUGUCGGGCUAGAGUCCGGAAGAGGCGAGUGGAAUUCCUGGUGUAGCGGUGAAAUGCGCAGAUAUCAGGAGGAACACCAAUGGCGAAGGCAGCUCGCUGGGACGGUACUGACGCUGAGGCGCGAAAGCGUGGGGAGCAAACAGG
rnacentral:rRNA from 1 species